CGAGGGAUCAGACCCGAAACCGAGUGAUCUAGGCAUGUCCAGGAUGAAGGUAAGGUAACACUUACUGGAGGUCCGAACCCACAUCUGUUGAAAAAGAUCGGGAUGAGGUGUGCCUAGGGGUGAAAGGCCAAUCAAACUCGGAGAUAGCUGGUUCUCUGCGAAAUCUAUUUAGGUAGAGCGUCAUCCGAAUACCCCGGGGGGUAGAGCACUGGAUGGGUAAUGGGGACCUACAGUCUUACUGAUCCUAACCAAACUCCGAAUACCCGGGAGUACUAUACGGCAGACACACUGCGGGUGCUAAGGUCCGUAGUGAAAAGGGAAACAGCCCUGACCUCCAGCUAAGGCCCCUAAUUCAUGGCUAAGUGGGAAAGCAGGUGGGACGACCAAAACAACCAGGAUGUUGGCUUAGAAGCAGCCAUCAUUUAAAGA
rnacentral:rRNA from 1 species